rnacentral:rRNA from 1 species
CCUACGGGAGGCAGCAGUGGGGGAUAUUGCACAAUGGGGGGAACCCUGAUGCAGCGACGCCGCGUGGGUGAAGGAGUGCUUCGGCAUGUAAAGCCCUAUCGGCAGGGAAGAAGCAAGACGGUAUCUGACUAAGAAGCCCCGGCUAACUACGUGCCAGCAGCCGCGGUAAUACGUAGGGGGCGAGCGUUAUCCGGAUUCACUGGGUGUAAGGGGAGCGUAGACGGCCAAGCAAGCCAGGGGUGAAAGCCCGGGCCCAACCCCGGGACCGGCCGUGGAACUGCAUGGCUGGAGUGCGGGAGGGGCAGGCGGAAUUCCUGGUGUAGCGGGGAAAUGCGUAGAUAUCAGGAGGAACACCGGCGGCGAAGGCGGCCUGCUGGACCGCGACUGACGUUGAGGCUCGAAAGCGUGGGGAGCGAACAGGAUUAGAUACCCCAGUAGUC